rnacentral:tRNA from 1 species
GGCAGUUUAGUUUAAUGGUAAAACACUUGACGCGUAACCACAGAGAUGUGAGUUCGAGUCUCAUGGCUGGCA